rnacentral:lncRNA from 1 species
GCAGGAUUUCUACAACAAUCCCUUUCUUGGCUUUCCUGCUUUCCUUGAUUUGGAAAGGACUCCAGCUUAUGAAAGAAAACGCAAAGAAAGAAGAGACCAUUCCACUGAGUGAGUUUGGGGAACAUAAACUUCUGUAAUGUUUAUUUUAAUUAGGCCUAUUUCUCUAAGUAUUAUACCACCCAAAUGAUAACAUGUUUUAAAAUUCCGUGUGCUUCAGGGAGACGAAUAUUGAGAUAAUCAAUCUCUUGGCACUCUUGCAAAAGCAAUAAUAGUAAAAGUAAUAAUAAACUAUAUCAUAGUAUGUUAUUAAAUAUUCUAAAACAAAUAUAGAACAAAUUAUCCAUUUUACCUAGUCUGCAUCUAUAGAGAAUGUAUGUUUAGGCAAUGUAUACUACCAGGAUCUAUCAAUCAUCAAAACGUGCUUAACAAUACAGAUACUCUACAUUAAUCUUAUUGGACAGGUGAUCCGUUCAUUAGUUCCCCUUACCAUAGUUUUUUUUUUUAAAGCAACUUUUAAUAUUUAACGCAAAUAUAAUCGAAUACAUGUCAUCAUAUCAAUUAGCCUUUGGUAGUCAAGUAACUAUUAAGAGAUAGAAAAUCGUAAUACAUUUUUUAUUUUAAAAAGAAAAAAAAUUUUCAUCCUUGGGGAUUACAAAAAACCAUGCCUAGGAUUCUUUUUUUGUUUGUUUGUUUUUUAACAAA